rnacentral:rRNA from 1 species
UACGAAGGGGGCUAGCGUUGUUCGGAAUUACUGGGCGUAAAGCGCGCGCAGGCGGUCCUUUAAGUCAGGGGUGAAAGCCCAGAGCUCAACUCUGGAACUGCCUUUGAAACUAGAGGACUUGGGUACGGGAGAGGUGAGUGGAAUUCCCAGUGUAGCGGUGAAAUGCGUAGAUAUUGGGAGGAACACCAGUGGCGAAGGCGGCUCACUGGACCGGAACUGACGCUGAGGCGCGAAAGCGUGGGGAGCAAACAGG